rnacentral:rRNA from 1 species
AACGAACGCUGGCGGCAGGCUUAACACAUGCAAGUCGAACGCAUCCUUCGGGGUGAGUGGCAGACGGGUGAGUAACGCGUGGGAACGUGCCCUUCAGUUCGGGAUAACCCAGGGAAACUUGGGCUAAUACCGGAUACGUGCGAGAGCAGAAAGAUUUAUCGCUGAAGGAUCGGCCCGCGUCUGAUUAGCUAGUUGGUGGGGUAAUGGCCCACCAAGGCGACGAGCAGUAGCUGGGCUGAGAGGUGGAUCAGCCACAUGGGGACUGAGACACGGCCCAAACUCCUACGGGAGGCAGCAGUGGGGAAUAUUGGACAAUGGGCGCAAGCCUGAUCCAGCCAUGCCGCGUGAGUGAUGAAGGCCUUAGGGUUGUAAAGCUCUUUCGUCCGGGACGAUAAUGACGGUACCGGAAGAAGAAGCCCCGGCUAACUUCGUGCCAGCCGCCGCCGUAA